rnacentral:rRNA from 1 species
GACGAACGCUGGCGGCGUGCUUAACACAUGCAAGUCGAACGGAAAGGCCCUGCUUUUGUGGGGUGCUCGAGUGGCGAACGGGUGAGUAACACGUGAGUAACCUGCCCUUGACUUUGGGAUAACUUCAGGAAACUGGGGCUAAUACCGGAUAGGAGCUCCUGCGGCAUGGUGGGGGUUGGAAAGUUUCGGCGGUUGGGGAUGGACUCGCGGCUUAUCAGCUUGUUGGUGGGGUAGUGGCUUACCAAGGCUUUGACGGGUAGCCGGCCUGAGAGGGUGACCGGCCACAGUGGGACUGAGAUACGGCCCAGACUCCUACGGGAGGCAGCAGGGGGGAAUAUUGCACAAGGGGCGGAAGCCUGAUGCAGCAACGCCGCGUGCGGGAUGACGGCCUUCGGGUUGGAAACCGCUUUCGCCUGUGACGAAGCGUGAGUGACGGUAAUGGGGAAAGAAGCACCGGCUAACUACGUGC